rnacentral:rRNA from 1 species
AUAGGGGAGCCGCAGGGAAACCGAGUCUUAACUGGGCGUUAAGUUGCAGGGUAUAGACCCGAAACCCGGUGAUCUAGCCAUGGGCAGGUUGAAGGUUGGGUAACACUAACUGGAGGACCGAACCGACUAAUGUUGAAAAAUUAGCGGAUGACUUGUGGCUGGGGGUGAAAGGCCAAUCAAACCGGGAGAUAGCUGGUUCUCCCCGAAAGCUAUUUAGGUAGCGCCUCGUGAACUCAUCUUCGGGGGUAGAGCACUGUUUCGGCUAGGGGGUCAUCCCGACUUACCAACCCGAUGCAAACUACGAAUACCGAAGAAUGUUAUCACGGGAGACACACGGCGGGUGCUAACGUCCGUCGUGAAGAGGGAAACAACCCAGACCGCCAGCUAAGGUCCCAAAGUCAUGGUUAAGUGGGAAACGAUGUGGGAAGGCCCAGACAGCCAGGAUGUUGGCUUAGAAGCAGCCAUCAUUUAAAGAAAGCGUAAUAGCUCACUGGUCGAGUCGGCCUGCGCGGAAGAUGUAACGGGGCUAAACCAUGCACCGAAGCUGCGGCAGCGACGCUUAUGCGUUGUUGGGUAGGGGAGCGUUCUGUAAGCCGUUGAAGGUGGCCUGUGAGGGUUGCUGGAGGUAUCAGAAGUGCGAAUGCUGACAUAAGUAACGAUAAUGCGGGUGAAAAACCCGCACGCCGGAAGACCAAGGGUUCCUGUCCAACGUUAAUCGGGGCAGGGUGAGUCGACCCCUAAGGCGAGGCCGAAAGGCGUAGUCGAUGGGAAACAGGUUAAUAUUCCUGUACUUGGUGUUACUGCGAAGGGGGGACGGAGAAGGCUAUGUUGGCCGGGCGACGGUUGUCCCGGUUUAAGCAUGUAGGCGGAUGUUCCAGGUAAAUCCGGAACGU